GGAGGAGUGGCUGAGCGGUUUAAAGCGCCGGUCUUGAAAACCGGAGUCUCCUUACGGGGACCGUGGGUUCAAAUCCUACCUCCUCCGCCA
rnacentral:tRNA from 1 species